rnacentral:rRNA from 1 species
AGCGAACGCUGGCGGCAGGCCUAAAACAUGCAAGUCGAACGCCGUAGCAAUACGGAGUGGCAGACGGGUGAGUAACACGUGGGAACGUGCCCUUUGGUUCGGAACAACACAGGGAAACUUGUGCUAAUACCGGAUAAGCCCUUACGGGAAGAUUUAUCGCCAAAGGAUCGGCCCGCGUCUGAUUAGCUAGUUGGUGAGGUAACGGCUCACCAAGGCUACGAUCAGUAGCUGGUCUGAGAGGAUGAUCAGCCACACUGGGACUGAGACACGGCCCAGACUCCUACGGGAGGCAGCAGUUAGGAAUCUUGGACAAUGGGCGCAAGCCUGAUCCAGCCAUGCCGCGUGAGUGAUGAAGGCCUUAGGGUUGUAAAGCUCUUUUCAGCGGGGGAAGAUAAUGACGGUACCCGCAGAAGAAGCCCCGGCUAACUUCGUGCCAGCAGCCGCCGCGGUAAG